rnacentral:lncRNA from 1 species
CCAAUAUUGAGGCGCUAGUAAUGCCCAAGCAUGCUCUCUGCCUUCACAUCCUCUGCUUAGAACACUCUCUCCCUGUCCAGUCCUUGAGAGCAAGCCUAGUGUCUUACUCAUUAUUUUACACUUGGCAACUAGUACAGGUAACUGGCCUAUGAUUCCCACUAGAGUCUUCUGGGGGAGAAUCAUCAUAAUUACCUCCCUUUCACAGAUGAAGAAAUUGAGGUUCAGAAAAGUGAAGCAACUGGAACUGAACCUAAAUUGAUUAUCCCAAGGUCACAAAGUUGGACACCAAUCUUUAAUACCCCAAAGUUAUUUUGUUUUCUCUACACCAGGCCACACUACCUCCUUUUUUGCCCGAGCAAGAUCUGCCAAGCUCCCCCUUUUUCCAGGAGCCAAGCCAGCUACCAUUUAACCGCCACAUUUACACCGGAUAAGCUCCCAGAACUAAGAUGGAUACUUUGGAAUGAUUAUGUGGCUUUAAUGAUUCAGGGCUGUCUACAGAGGACCCCCUGGACCCUCACAAGACCAUUCCACACUUGGACAACUGCGUCCCAGGGGCCUUGCAAGAGAACCAGAGGAAUCCUGAGGCCUUUCAGCCAAGGAAUGCUCCCGGAGAGCUGUUUAUCUUGGACAUGGGCAGAUGGCCAGGUACCACCAGGCAACGGCUGGCUCCACUAAAAAUUCAUGGGUCAUAGACGCUUGCUCCAGAAUGGCAACAACCUUGGAAUUUGUGACUUCCUCUCUCCCUUGUAGCAGCUAGCACAAUUAGAAAAAGCAGUACACCUACAAUCACAGUAGCUAACAUUGAUCGAGUGCCUAUUCUAUGAUCUCAUCUUCAUGGAAACUCUAAUUAUCAUGAAUCCCAUUUUAUCGAUGAGGAAGCUAAGUCUUAGAGAUGUUAAAUGUCUUACUCAGGGGCACUCAUCACUAGGAAGCAGAAGAGCCGGGAAUCUAGGACUGCAGCUGAGGCAAAGUCUGUAGAAGGGGAAAAAAAUCAUUGUAUGGUAGUAUUAAUAGGACUAUUGACAUGAUUUUAUCUGGAACAUUCAGAUUUUUAUCAAACAAUUUUUAAAUAACAUUUAAUUAGAGGCUGGGUAUAGAAUGUGAUUAAAAAAAAAAAAACACCCGAGGUUGGGGGUUCAUUUCCAUCAUUGAAUCCAAGGCAGUAUGGAAGCUGGAAUACUCAUGCUCAGGAAUCUGUUGUUUUUCUCCAAUUUAGCUUCCGAGAAAUUUGCAGACCUGUAAGAGAUGAAAGCGAGGGACCUUUCAAAAGAUGGUUACUUCCUUUUCAACUCCAUCUUUCACAUAGCUUAAUCCUUUCUGGGAUAAAUUGGGUUUACUAUGGAAAUGUCUUCUUCUAAGAUGCAGUUUCAAAACAGAUAUUUUUGUUCCCUUGUUUAAAAAUGCAUCGUCAACAAAUUGCUUGUGUUUAUUCAACUUGUCCAAAUAAAAGCCAUAUAAGGCUCA